UUGAGCAAGAAAGACUGUCAGUCAAGUAGUCCGCCAGCUUCUGUUUGGAUGAUUCCAAGAUGCCUCGAGACAACUAUGCAAAAGUUUCUGGCUGAUUGCCCAGACUCUUGAAAGUACCGCCCGAGGCAAGGCUGUUUAAAACAGGUUUGUCUCCAGCUUUUGUAGCCACAAGCCUCACUGGACCAUUUCCACCUUGGCCAGAGAAGAAACAGGACCCAUUGUAGAAGGACUAAGCCCAUGGCAAAGCAGUGAAAGAGGCAAGACUGUGAUUGGGGCCAGGGAGAAGACUGACGGGGCUAGGAACAAGGCUGCCAUUGGGGCCAGAGGGAAUACUAUUAUUGAUGUUAGAGGAAAGCCUGUGACUGGCCAAACAAACGCGUGGAACCCGGACCCUUGCACUGGCUGGACAGCGCUCUCUUGAACUCCACCCCGACCAGUUCUGUUUCUUAGUCCUCUGCUAUUGAGAAACUAGCAUCUCAAGGUUCACUGCACUCAGGAAGAGAUCCUACGGCCCCGGCCAUGCAGAAGCUGAAGCGUGCCCGGCAUCGAUGGCAUAAGAAGCCAAGAGAGGAGCUGAUGCUCCCUGACCCUGCAGAAGCUAGACUGAGACACCAGCUGUGGUUCCUCUUUUGCACAUCUGGCAAGGUAACAACACAGUGGCCUUGAGAGAAGUAACUGCUGCAGACCCUGAAGAACGCCUGCAAACCAAAGCUGGCUGACAAGCCAGAGGUCUGUCCUCUGUGCUCUGCACUGCCCCAGGACUCCCAAGACUUGUGUCACCAGGCUGGUGCUAACCACGUGCUUAUUAACAUGGGAGCCAGUCAAAGCAGUCAAAAAAGUCUCAGCGGUCAUGCACUUGAAAGCAAAGUUUUAAGUGAUGUGAGGCAAAAACCAAGAGACCUGAAACAAAGAAACCCGAUCACAGUGAUAUCUAGAGACCACGUCUGUCAGGACAUAGGCCUGGGAAACAUCCUUUCAUGUUCUCUGUUGGGGGGAUCCAAGAGGCUCCCAAAACAAUGUAAGCUGUUGUCCGUGCCCUUGGCUGCCUCCCAGAACUUGAAACACCACAUGGUUCAGACACAGGACUGGAAGCUUCCUCUCUGGGGACUGACUCUCACCGCAUCAGGAGGUACUACGCAAGCUGCCAAGGGAGAGGAGCAUUCAAUAGUCUAACCCAACCAGAAAACCUAUGACCAACCUGGCAAGAUAUCCCUAAGAGCGCAACAGUGGCACUUACAUCUUGAGGAUAACCAAAAGCCGUCAAACUGGAUUUAGGGCCCUUUCCAUAGGUUCCAUAGGAGGGAAUUCACACUUGGUAGCAUAAACCCAGACAUCUACCCACGACCAGUGAGGCCACAAAUCCUAAAGAAGAACCUAUAACAUCCACCUUCCUAAACUAGUAUAAUUUCUAACAGCAUUAUAAAUACUUACACGGGUAAGUGUAGUUUCCACCCCCAACAUCAAAAAUGCUCUUUUUGUACCAGACAGACAGCAUCAUAAAAAUCCACAGCUGGUCAAAAUACGAAGAACACUAACUGUGAGGUACUCAAGCCCAGUCAUACAUCGGUUAUAACCCUUAUAUCUAAUAGUUAAGGAACAUUCCAGAAGACAAGGGAAGAUUGUAAGAGCCAAAGGACCAGGCUAUCUGCGGCAAGAUAGUAUCUUCCUUACAUGACAGGGAAGCCCCACAUGUGAAAUCUUAAACCAAUACAGCCACCUAAACAAGACCUGCCCAAUGGCAACACCAGUUGACAUGUCAACAUGGAUGAGGGAAAUCUCACAAGGCCCCAGUCUUGGAUGAAGAGCUACUGGCAAUUAGCGGUUGCUGAGAGGGAGAAUUGAUCUUCUCCAGGGACAUGCCAAUACCAAAUGGUUAGUUCCCUAAACACACAUAUCUAUGAGCAACACUAAAUGCACUCAACAGGUUGUAUGAAUGCAUGCAAUGAACCAUUACUAGAUGACAAUUGUGUGUGUGUGUGUGUGUGAUUUCUUUAAAAAUGUCACAAUAAAACAGCUUAGCAUGAAGACGUCUUUAGGUUCUCAAACAUGAGUUCUCAGGUAGCCUUCUCUGGACACAAAGCACAAGCAGACAUUAAGGGAGAAAGGAAGCCACAUAGAUAAAAAAAAAAACCUGUCCUCUGUAGGAGGGAGAAGGAGCAGCCUCCCCCUGCACAGGCUUCUCUGCACAUUCAUGCCCUGCUUUGCCGUCUACCACAGCCAGGUGGUCUGACAGCCGCUCAGCCUGCUUCCUCUGCCGUUUCUAGCUCUUCCUGUCUAGAGACCCAUCACACCUCCUUCGAUAAUCAGAAACCUCUUAAGAGACCGGCCAGCUCCCUGUACGUUGUGCCUGGAUAUUAUUUGCUUCAGAGAGUUAAAGCAAAGCCUCUGUUUAGAUCUGGCCCUACGCCCCAGCUGCAGUCUAGCUUCUCCAGGGCAUCUCACUAAGCAUGACUGAGAACCAGCUCACAUUAGUGACUUUGAGUCCCGUUGAUUUGAAAGAGCUGGGGUGAAUAAGGAUGGGGUGACUGGAUGUUGGGAGGGCAACUUCCACUCCCGCAGCCCCACCACCGUGUAGAUAUUAUUGACCUGCCAUAGAAAUGCCCCCUUGAUUUCUAUCUCACAACUGGAAACUAGAAAAAGAAAACCCUGCAUACUAUUGUGAAUUAUUUAGACAAUGCAACCUGUAACAUAUAAGCGGGACAUUGUCUUAGUGUGUAUGUGUUCAUAUGUUUGUGCAUGUUCCUUUGUAUGCACAUGUAUGUUUAUGUAGGCUCAUAGGAAGACCAGAGGACAGCCUCCAAUGUCGUUCCUCAGGUGCGAUCAGCCUUUUGUUUCUUUGUUUGUUUGUUUUUUGGGGACUGGUUCUCUCUGUGUAGCCCUGGCUGGCCUUGGACACCCUAUGUAGAAGAGGCUGGCCUUGAACUGACAGACAUCCACAUACCACCCCCCUAAUGCUGCGGUUAAAGGUCUGAGUCAAUCAUGCCCAGCAUUUUCCUGAUAACUUUUUUUCUUUUGUAGGAAAAUGCUAAAACAUCAAGGAAGUUACACUUUCAAGAUAAAGUUGGAUUUGAAGGAGGAACAGCCAGAAUCCUUCCCAUCUAUUGAAGGAUUUGAGAAAUUUCUUUCUUGUGGGGUGUGUGUGUGUGUGUGUGUGUGUGUGUGUGUGUGUGUGUGUGUGUGUGUCCCCAUGGUGCUCCUUCAUGUGCAUGUCUGUGCGGAGGCCAGAGGAUAAUCUUGGGUAUUAUACCUCAGGUACUGGCCAUCUCUUUCUCUUUCUUUCUUUCUUUCCUUCUUUCUUUCUGAGAUGGGACCCAUCACCUAGAAUUUGUCCGGCAGAACAGGCUGUCGCCAGGGCCAUCUGUGUCUUGGCUAGGCCUGGGAUUACAAUUAUCUGUCACCAUACUGGCUUUUACAUUUUUUUUCUGGGGAUGGAACUUUUUUCCUCCUUGUACGUUUGCUUUAUUGACUGUGUAUCUCUAAUACUGUCUCUGCCAUAUUAAUUAAAUAAUUGACAUCUA